rnacentral:tRNA from 1 species
GCGGGUAUGGUCUAACGGCUAUGACAUCUGCCUUCCAAGCAGAAGGUACGGGUUCGAUUCCCGUUACCCGCUCCA